rnacentral:rRNA from 1 species
GGGUAACCCUGAGAAACCCGAAAGGUCGAAAGGGGAAAUUCAUUCGCGUUUCGGCCGUCAGAGGUGAUGUUGUGUGACGGAUGGCGUUCGCGUCGUCUGCGCCUUGCGUCCAUCUAACUGGCGUCGAACGCGUGCACUUUUCCCCUAGUAGGACGUCGCGAUCCGUUGGGUGUCUGUCUAAGACUCGGGGUGGAGCCCAGAUGACCACGGUCGUUUGGACCCUCGAUGUUCCGACAGACUCGCUCGACGGUAUGCUAAAGGCGCGGGGCCGCUAUUCAGUUAGCGUUCGGCCCGUAUCAAGCACGUUCUGCGUUUGAUGGCGAUCGGAUCUGAUGCCGAUUCUGUCCCGGAACGACUGUUGGGUGCGGUGUUCUCGAACAGACCUCGUUGAAACGCCGAUCAAGCGACGCUAUAGCUUUGGGUACUUUCAGGACCC